AUUGAACGCUGGCGGCAGGCCUAACACAUGCAAGUCGAACGAGUGGCGGACGGGUGAGUAUUGUCUGGGACACUGCCUGAUGGAGGGGGAUAACUACUGGAAACGGUAGCUAAUACCGCAUACCAUCAGAUGUUCCCAGAUGGGAUUAGCUAGUUGGUGGGGUAACGGCUCACCACGGCGACGAUCCCUAGCUGGUCUGAGAGGAGGACCAGCCACACGGGAACUGAGACACGGCCAAGCACCCUACGGGAGGCAGCAGUGGGGAAUAUUGCACAAUGGGCGCAAGCCUGAUGCAGCCAUGCCGCGUGUAUGAAGAAGGCUUUCGGGUUGUAAAGUACUUUCAGCGGGGAGGCGUUACCCGCAGAAGAAGCACCGGCUAACUCCGUGCCAGCCGCCGCGGUAAUAC
rnacentral:rRNA from 1 species